CACUCCUACGGGAGGCAGCAGUGGGGAAUAUUGCACAAUGGGCGCAAGCCUGAUGCAGCCAUGCCGCGUGUAUGAAGAAGGCCUUCGGGUUGUAAAGUACUUUCAGCGGGGAGGAAGGCGAUAAGGUUAAUAACCUUGUUGAUUGACGUUACCCGCAGAAGAAGCACCGGCUAACUCCGUGCCAGCAGCCGCGGUAAUACGGAGGGUGCAAGCGUUAAUCGGAAUUACUGGGCGUAAAGCGCACGCAGGCGGUCUGUCAAGUCGGAUGUGAAAUCCCCGGGCUCAACCUGGGAACUGCAUUCGAAACUGGCAGGCUAGAGUCUUGUAGAGGGGGGUAGAAUUCCAGGUGUAGCGGUGAAAUGCGUAGAGAUCUGGAGGAAUACCGGUGGCGAAGGCGGCCCCCUGGACAAAGACUGACGCUCAGGUGCGAAAGCGUGGGGAGCAAACAGGAUUAGAUACCCUAGUAGUCCC
rnacentral:rRNA from 1 species